rnacentral:lncRNA from 1 species
AACACCAGGAGCGGUCUGAUCAAAUAAGGGAUCAGACCACUCUUAGAAACAGAAAACAAAAGCAAACUCUCAUAGUUCGGAGCCCAGCUCCAACUACUUCUUCGUAAGUUAGGUACUUAUUUCGGUUUGAAUAGGGGGUUGCCCUUUUUUUGGUUGAAGUAGCCACGACUUUGGUCGUAGUCAGUUUAAACACAUAAACCCAGUCCACUUGCAACCAUGUUGAUCAAAAUUACUAAGUUUAAUGACUUUACCAGUCACCCGCUCUCGUAUUAGAAGAUUCUCUCACCCUGUGGUCGACAUUCCAUUCCCCUUAGUCGUAGGUGCUCGUUCUAUUUUGAUUUGAAUGGGCCGGGUCUCCCGAACGAUCAUAGUACGGCCGCUCAUCUAAUAUCAAAUCAAUGGGUAGAUCUCACUUCCCUUCCCCCCUACCAUAGCCGGAAGGGGUAGCGUAUCCACAGAAGAGAGAGUACAAGCCCUUACCUGCCGUUCGAUUGAUUGUUCUAAAGUUGAAGUCCUUUCGCUAAGUCGAAUUGAAAGGUAGGUUUUGUCAGUGAUUAAAUGGAAAGGGGGAGCGGUUCGGGCCUACUCUUGAACUUUUAGGCUAAUUAAAAGCCAAAACAAAAGCCAAAUAUCGGCAUGUAACUGAGAAAGAUGGGAUUCGGUCAACAAACAAAGGAAAUUAAAACACUCCCUUCUUUCUGUCGACAAUGAUGAAAACCAGAUCGAACUCUAAAGUAAAGCCUUUCACUUCAUUGUUCAAGCUCUUGAACAUAGGUUGAGUUCAUACAUUAUGAAUGCUUUCCUAUUCAAGACAUACUACCAAUUCCUUUGAAGCUACUACCGAAGCUGGCUUGCUUGUUUUGGUUACCGGUUGGGGUUUUGAAACCAGAGAAAGAAGAUCCGGUUGGGCUUUCUAGCGAUGGGAGAUUAGUCACCGGAAAAGAAAAGGGAACUGGGUCGAUCUAUUCUAUGGCGAAGCAUCCAAAGUCUCACGAUCACAGGUGAAGCUGGGCUACAUCCUUUACCGGGCAUCCAUUCAUUCAAAUGUCCUAUCACCAGGCACCUGAACUACCUCGAUCCGAGACGCCCAAUUCCCCUCCUUCCGACCUGGCUAGCCGCACAACUUAUACUGGUAUGGCUGGUCCGGAAAUGCCAAUUGAUUCGGUACGAUCUGGUGGAUUCUUUCCCCUUGAUUCCACCUCUACUUCCACGGCGGAGUCAAUCAAUCUAUCGAAGCGACUCACACUCAUCCCUUGGCGCCUCUCCUAUUCGUGCAAAGGGGCGGCUACUGUGAGAUGUUCCAAUUCGUUAUCCCGUCAAUAGCUGCUUGCUCUGGCUGGGUUAUUUCCUUCCCUGCCGAAGCGUACCUUCCAUUCUUCAUCAAUAACCAAGCACUAGCACGGAGAUCCAAUGCGACCCGCUUCCUUCACUUUCAAGGAGACUCGCCGCUGUGCUUGAAGCGCUAUUGCUUAUCCCAAAACGUCAACUCGGGUGGGCUAGCCACAUUAGUUGCACUCGCUGGCAGGUCCGGGAGUCGUCAUUAAAUUCCUUAUCCCGAGCAGGGCGAAUGAUCUCUUUUGACAAGGUAUCCGAAAGACCUUGAUCAUAGGUGAAGCUGCUCAGCUACCUCCGGGCAUCCGCCCAAUGCAAAAUGCAAGAAGACCCAUUGCUCAGUCAUAGAUGAAGCUCGGCUAUUUAUGCGGAUGGACGUACCUCGGACUUCCUUUCAAUUGAUUGAUUCGGGAAGGGCACAAUCCCCUUUUGUCGAGGGAUAUGCGUUAAGAGCAUAUAGCUUGGUCGGCAUUUCCUUCUCAAUAAAGCCUGUUGUCCUGCCCGGCACAGAGCCUGUAUGGAGCUCCGUAUUCCUCUAGGCAUUCCUUCAGGCGCAAGUCUAUCGAUGUUCACCUACGCAAUUAGAUGGGAUCCCUUGCCAUCAGCUACCAAGCAAUAAUAUCUAUGCGAUCCAUCCGUCCGUCUGCCCCUAGGCACGGUAGUUCUAUGCCGCAUACAGGAGUCACCUAGUGAGCCUAGUCGAAUCAGAAUCAUCAUAGAGAAAGAAUACUUUUCGAAAGAUUCUAAAAUUACAUAAGAGAAGAAAAGAAAACGAAGCUCAGACAGCAUAAGAUCAGCAGAAGUGGGAGAAGGGGGAAUUUUCGAAGAAACGAUACAAUCAAUACAUUUCUCUCCCUCCUCUCUAUAUUCUCCGAGAUUUCAUUGGGUUACGAAGGAGCUAAGAUUCGGCUAGCUUUUAGCUUGGAGUGGAGUAGCCAGGAAGAGGCACCGAGGGAAAACUCGACCGGAAGAUCCGCUAACCUAAGCGCCCACGAAGAGAGAUUUCGAAUACUGAACUAAGUAGGUAGUAGGCCUUCAACCAAUCUACUUUUUUUCGUUUUUUUCUUUUUUAAAAAAAGAAAU